GAGGGUUUAGUGCCUGACUGAGAAACAAUGCAUACUCUUCUGUGUUGUUUGGCAAGCCAAUCUUACUUGCUCAUGUUUUUAAGUGGGAUUGAUAAACUAGUUUCUAAUAGUGAUACUUUGGAUUCAUCUAUGUAUAACAUACUAAUCAAUAGUCUCUGGAAAGAGGGUCUAAAAAGUGAGGCUUCCCGAGUAUUGGAUCUGAUGUUAGAAAAAUGUUGGGUGCCAGAUGCUACAACUCACGGACUGUUGGUUGGGUCUUUUAUCAAAAGAGAUACAGAUGGUGAAACACUUGCAUAUGAGGAUUCCAUGCAAGAUAGUGUUAGCAACAUUCUUGCUGAGGGAUUGGGAAAUACAUGACAAUUAAACUGUAAUUAGAAAGUUUCUAAAUUACCCUAGUGGAAAACUCGCCAUGAUGGGAUGUAAGCUUCUUCAGGAUCUAAUUUUGCAGCUUUGGUCGAGUUGCCUGAAAAAUUAGUCUAUAAUGGCAUUAGAUUGUAAACAUGCCAGAUUAUUUGUUCUUUACCCAGCCAGCUUAUAAAUGUUGUGGCAUCAUAAGCUUUUUGGUCCACUGUAUUUUUUUUGACUCACAUUUAUGUGUCCCGCUGGAAGAAAAAUCAAAAGAAGAAAUUAUCUCCCAAGACACAUGGCAGAUAAAGGAGAGGAGCAAGUGGCAGUUUCUAAACCCCCUGGUCCACCACAAACAAAAGCAACAGAUGACAAACAUGAGGAGACUGAAGCUGUGAUGGAACAGGAGGCAAAUAAAAGGGGAGAAGAAGGGCAAGAGUCAACUUAGAGAAAGAAAUUGAAGAAGUUGAAGGAGAGUUACAGGUCUCUCAAAAAAACUGCAUUGCACUUUGAUGUAUUUUGUGUAAUGCGAACCAGCUUGUAUUUCAAGCAUUCAGAAAACUGAUGGGAAUCUAAUCACAAAAGUCUACCGUUGCAGGCCCAAAGGGAAGAAUCCAGGAGGCAGUCCAAUGGGUGUGAAUGUUAGCCCUGCUGAGAGCAAAAGUAAUGACCGAAUGUGUGGGGCUGUUUGGACAGUUCACCAGAGCAGCUGAAAUUAGUUGAAGUUUUCCUUCCAGAAUUCAGAGACAAGAAUCCUUAGUGGUGGGGUCCAUUUACGGUUAGAGGGCUGCACAUAUAUUGUGGGAUGCAUGCCAAAGAAAGGGGGAUUUUUAUUCAGUUAUCACUAUUUGUAGUUAGUAAGAAUAUCGGAGAGGGCUGGCUCUCGAAACUUAGCUGUGUUAACUUUUCUUUUACUGUUGCUCUUUGUUAUUGCUCUUGGGGGUUUUUGUUUUCCAGAUUAUCCAGUUGUUGCAGUCUUGAAUCAACGCUGUAGCUAUUUUCCUCAUUAUGGUUACGGGAUGAAAUGUUAUAGCUGUUCUGUUUCCAAUUUCAUUACAAUCUUGUUCAAUCAUAAAUGAUGAAAUGGUACAUUGAGAGUGAAAUUGUAUCAGUGACUUCCCUAAUUCCUUGUUUGGCUGCGAGAAAAUUGGGGCUGUUAAUUGGGCUAAUAACUAGGAAGAAACUGGGAUUGUUGAACCUGUUGGAAGGAGUUGUGCCUGGAUCCUGCUGGAGCUGCUGAGUGCUGCUGGGAACCAUUAGCAAGGAGGACUGAAAUCCAUUCAUUCGGGUUUGCAACAAAAACUUGUAUUGAAACUUUAAUGUAAACUUGUUCUCAUUACAGAAAAUUAAUAAAGACUACAUUUCCAGUAUUUUUUCUGAGUUACAUUUCUAAUAUAUGUUUCUGCUAUUUACAUUGCUGAGAUUGAUUGUGUUGGUUUGAGUUGACUGCUGCGUGGACAUAUUGCUGGAAAAGUGUUGUGUUGCUGCUGGAUUUCUUCUUGUGUGUUGCUGGAGCUGUUGGGAAGGUUCUGGUGUCCGAAGAAUGAUUGAGCGGAAGGUGAAGUAGAGAAGGUUCUGUGCAGAAGAAAACCCAGGUGCGCAUCACUUUCACACAUAUCAAGCAGUGCCCUAAUAAGUUUGAAUUGGUAUCCCCUUUGUCUAUCAAACUAUGUGGAAGAUUAUAAUCAUGCUUUUUUCCGUAGCAUGAAGUGGGCAAAAAGAUUAUAAUCAGCAAAGGAUUGAGGUUCGAGGGAAGCUGGACUUGCAACCUGCAGUCCAGAGAUUGUUGACCAUUAUUUAGCAGCUGAAGUUCAUUCUCCGACAGUAAGAUUGCUGUUGAACUCCAUCCAACGACAGUUGCCACAGAAGCAGUUUUCAUCAAGUUCUAUUCAUUGAUGGAAACUUCUACCAGCAACUUUGUUGAAGAGUGACUUAGUACAAGUUUUCAUCAGCUGAAAUUCUCACCAAGGAAAUGGAAAUUGAAGAUUCAAUGAAUAUUUAUGGGUUGUUUUGUUGAA